ACGAGAGUGUCUCUGAAACAGCAGCUGCCAGCAAUGCGAGGAGCUCAGAGGAGUUUCGCAAAGAAUGCUGCCGGCGCCGGAGGGAGGACUGGAGCAAUGCGGGCAGGAGAUCAUCAUCAGCUUGCAGAAAACCUCCUCCCCCACAGGCAGGGAUGCGGCGCGGCGGUACGGAGG